rnacentral:rRNA from 1 species
GACGAACGCUGGCGGCGUGCUUAACACAUGCAAGUCGAACGGAAAGGCCCUGCUUUUGUGGGGUGCUCGAGUGGCGAACGGGUGAGUAACACGUGAGUAACCUGCCCUUGACUUUGGGAUAACUUCAGGAAACUGGGGCUAAUACCGGAUAGGAGCUCCUGCUGCAUGGUGGGGGUUGGAAAGUUUCGGCGGUUGGGGAUGGACUCGCGGCUUAUCAGCUUGUUGGUGGGGUAGUGGCUUACCAAGGCUUUGGCGGGUAGCCGGCCUGAGAGGGUGACCGGCCACAUUGGGGCUGAGGUACGGCCCAGGCUCCUACGGGGGGCAGCAGUGGGGAAUAUUGCACAAUGGGCGGGAGCCUGAUGCAGCAACGCCGCGUGCGGGAUGACGGCCUUCGGGUUGUAAACCGCUUUCGCCUGUGACGAAGCGUGAGUGGCGGUAAUGGGUAAAGAAGCGCCGGCUAACUACGGUC